GAUGGCUUCCGAACUUCCGGCCAGAACAGCUUCAGAAAUUGAGUCCCAUCGAGAGAGCCCGAGUUGCAGGCUGAACCAUCAAACCCUAACUUCGGAAACUGAUCCGCCCCCUGCUGAUUGAAACAACGACGGCCAAACUAGCCGCAUUUUCACGGAAGAGGCGGCGAUCCAACGAUUCGUCUCCAAAACGCAACCUACAGCGCAGCAGACAAACCAAUCAGUUUCUCGAACCAGACCAGAUAUUCUCACCAGAACAGAUCAAACAAACGAAUGCCCCGCCCUCAAUAGCCCCCACAGCACAUAUUACAACGAUCAGCCAAGAGUUCGAUGACCACAGGUAUAAAAUCCCGACAACGCUUCAACUCCAGAAGAAUGAACAAGAGAGAAGA
rnacentral:lncRNA from 1 species